AUUAAGUUAGUAUAUGAGUACAUCUGAUUUCNAUUCAGAAGGGCUUCAAGAGUAGUC
rnacentral:tRNA from 1 species